rnacentral:rRNA from 1 species
AGGAGCGUAACGAUAAGUCGGAGGGGCACCCCUUACGGCGGUGUAGUCUCACCACUAUAAAACUCUUUUAUUAUUUUCUAGAUUUUCAUUGCUGAGUGGCAUAACUAUAAAAAAGUUAAAACUUUCAACAACGGAUCUCUUGGCUCUAGCAUCGAUGAAGAACGCAGCGAAAUGCGAUAAGUAAUGUGAAUUGCAGAAUUCAGUGAAUCAUCGAAUCUUUGAACGCACAUUGCGCCUGGCAGUAUUCUGCCAGGCAUGCCUGUCCGAGCGUCAUUUCACCACUCAAGACUCUUUUGUUCUUGGCGUUGGAGGUCCUGUUCUCCCCUGAACAGGCCGCCGAACAUGUAUCGGCUGUUAUACUUGCCAACUCCCCUGUGUAGUAUAAAAUUUCUAAUUUUUACACUUUGAAGUUCUUGUGUAACACGCCGCUAAACCCGCUCAACUUUUGUUGAACUUUUCACAAGGUUGACCUCGGAUCAGGUAGGAAUACCCGCUGAACUUAAGCAUAUC